UCAUCAAAGUGGCUGUCAUAUG
rnacentral:miRNA from 2 species